rnacentral:rRNA from 1 species
GACGAACGCUGGCGGCGUGCUUAACACAUGCAAGUCGAACGAUGAACCCGGAGCUUGCUCCGGUGGAUUAGUGGCGAACGGGUGAGUAACACGUGAGUAACCUGCCCUUGACUCUGGGAUAACUGCGGGAAACUGUAGCUAAUACCGGAUACGACCCUCGGCGGCAUCGCCAGGGGGUGGAAAGAAUUUCGGUCAAGGAUGGACUCGCGGCCUAUCAGCUAGUUGGUGAGGUAACGGCUCAACAAGGCGACGACUGGUAGCCGGCCUGAGAGGGUGGCCGGCCACCCUGGGACUGAGACACGGCCCAGACCCCUACGGGAGGCAGCAGUGGGGAAUAUUGCACAAUGGGCGCAAGCCUGAUGCAGCGACGCCGCGUGAGGGAUGACGGCCUUCGGGUUGUAAACCUCUUUUAGCAGGGAAGAAGCGAAAGUGACGGUACCUGCAGAAAAAGCACCGGCUAACUACGUGCCAGCCGCCGCCGUAA